rnacentral:lncRNA from 1 species
GAAACUCUUAUCACUCUUCAGUUCUGUCUGAGACCUGAGAUGGAGGAGGAUGAUCAGUCCAGUUUGGGAAAGUUGCAGGGUUCUUUUCCUCUUUGCCCUAGAAACAGGAACCCUUAGGGAAAAUGGCACCCAUUGUCCUCAGAGAGUUGACAAAUAUUCCGGUCAAAGGAGGGACGAAGCUUUGCAAGUUGGAAGUGAUUCACCUAACCACCAGAAAUCCUGGUAAAAUGAAUUCUAAAAUCCAGGUCUUCAUCUCAGAUUCACAAUGGACAGGGCUUCACAUCUAGCAGAAAAUCCACCCAGCUUCUCUGCGUGUAAAUAUUUCAAACUCAAAUGCCUUUUCGUUUUCAUGCCCAAGCCA